rnacentral:rRNA from 1 species
GACGAACGCUGGCGGCGUGCCUAAUACAUGCAAGUCGAGCGCAGGAAACUGACGGAACUCUUCGGAGGGAAGGCAGUGGAAUGAGCGGCGGACGGGUGAGUAGCACGUAAGGAACCUGCCUCAAGGAUUGGGAUAACUCCGAGAAAUCGGAGCUAAUACCGGAUAGUUCAACGGACCGCAUGGUCCGCUGAUGAAAGGCGCUCCGGCGUCACCUUGAGAUGGCCUUGCGGUGCAUUAGCUAGUUGGUGGGGUAACGGCCCACCAAGGCGACGAUGCAUAGCCGACCUGAGAGGGUGAUCGGCCACACUGGGACUGAGACACGGCCCAGACUCGUACGGGAGGCAGCAGUAGGGAAUCUUCCACAAUGGACGAAAGUCUGAUGGAGCAACGCCGCGUGAGUGAUGAAGGUUUUCGGAUCGUAAAACUCUGUUGUAAGGGAAGAACACGUACGAGAGGAAAUGCUCGUACCUUGACGGUACCUUACGAGAAAGCCACGGCUAACUACGUGCCAGCCGCCGCCGUAAAAC